AGAGUUUGAUCCUGGCUCAGAUUGAACGCUGGCGGCAUGCCUAACACAUGCAAGUCGAACGGUAACAGAACUAGCUUGCUAGUUGCUGACGAGUGGCGGACGGGUGAGUAAUGUAUAGGAACUUGCCUAGUAGUGGGGGACAACUUAUGGAAACGUAAGCUAAUACCGCAUAAUCUCUACGGAGGAAAGCAGGGGAUCUUCGGACCUUGCGCUAUUAGAUAGGCCUAUAUUGGAUUAGCUAGUUGGUAAGGUAAAGGCUUACCAAGGCGACGAUCCAUAGCUGGUUUGAGAGAAUGAUCAGCCACACUGGGACUGAGACACGGCCCAGACUCCUACGGGAGGCAGCAGUGGGGAAUAUUGCACAAUGGAGGAAACUCUGAUGCAGCAAUGCCGCGUGUGUGAAGAAGGCCUUCGGGUUGUAAAGCACUUUCAAUAGUGAGGAAAAAUGUAAGGUUAAUACCCUUACGUCCUGACGUUAACUAUAGAAGAAGCACCGGCUAACUCCGUGCCAGCAGCCGCGGUAAUACGGAGGGUGCAAGCGUUAAUCGGAAUUACUGGGCGUAAAGCGCGCGUAGGCGGUUAUACAAGUCAGAUGUGAAAGCCCUGGGCUCAACCUAGGAACUGCAUUUGAAACUGUAUGGCUAGAGUAUGGUAGAGGUGAGUGGAAUUUCAGGUGUAGCGGUGAAAUGCGUAGAGAUCUGAAGGAACAUCAGUGGCGAAGGCGACUCACUGGGCCAUUACUGACGCUGAGGUGCGAAAGCGUGGGUAGCAAACAGGAUUAGAUACCCUGGUAGUCCACGCCCUAAACGAUGUCAACUAGGUGUAUGGGAGUUUACCUCCUGUGUAUCGAAGCUAACGCGAUAAGUUGACCGCCUGGGGAGUACGGCCGCAAGGCUAAAACUCAAAUGAAUUGACGGGGCCCGC
rnacentral:rRNA from 1 species